AGGCGCACAACCAGUGGAGCAUGUGGUUCAAUUCGAUCAAAGCGAUGAACCUUACCUGGGUUUGAAAUGUACCUGCAAAUCCCGAGAAAUCGGGACAUCCUUCGAGGGUGGUACACAGCUGUUGCAUGGCUGUCGUCAGCUCGUGACGUGAGUUGUUCUCUUAAGUGAGGUAACGAGCGCAACCCCCGUUCUGUGUUAUUGUGUCACAGAAGACUGCCUAGCAUAUUUUGUUAGGAGGAAGGAGGGGACGACGUCAAGUCAUCAUGAUGCUUAUAUCCAGGGCUACACACAUCCUACAAUGGGCUAUAACAGAGGGUUGCAAGACCGCAAGGUGGAGCUAAUCCCUAAACUAGCCCUCAGUUGGGAUUGCAGGCUGAAACUCGCCUGCAUGAACCCGGAAUUGGUAGUAAUCGCACAUCAGCAGCGUGCGGUGAAUACGUUCUCGCCUCUU
rnacentral:rRNA from 1 species